CCCUACGGGGUGCACCAGGCGCGAAACCUCUGCAAUAAGCGAAAGCUUGACAGGGUUACUCUGAGUGAUUUCCGCUAAGGAGAUCUUUUGGCACCUCUAAAAAUGGUGCAGAAUAAGGGGUGGGCAAGUCUGGUGUCAGCCGCCGCGGUAA
rnacentral:rRNA from 1 species